CGGUUGAUCCUGCCGGACCCGACUGCUAUUUGGGUGAGGAUAAGCCAUGCGAGUUGAAUGGGAAACCUAAAGUUCCCAUGGCAAACUGCUCAGUAACACAUGAUCAACUUACCCUAUAGAGAAAAAUAACCUCGGGAAACUGAGGAUAAUGUUUCAUAGCUGAAUUGGCUUGGAAAAGUUUUUCGGCGAAAAGGGUAAAAAAAAUGGUUUUUAUCUGCUAUAGGAUAGGAUCGUGUUCGAUUAUGGUUGUUGGUGAGGUAAUGGCUCACCAAGCCGAUAAUCGAUAGGGGCCGUGAGAGCGGGAGCCCCGAGAUGGGUACUGAGACAACGACCCAGGCCUUACGAGGCGCAGCAGGCGCGAAACCUCCGCAAUACACGAAAGUGUGACGGGGUUACCCAAAGUGUUCAAUAGAACUGUGGUAGGUGGGUAAUGUUCCCUACUAGAAAGGAGAGGGCAAGGCUGGUGCCAGCCGCCGCGGUAAAACCAGCUCUUCAAGUGGUCGGGAUAAUUAUUGGGCUUAAAGUGUCCGUAGCCGGUUUAGUAAGUUCCUGGUAAAAUCGGGUAGCUUAACUAUCUAUAUGCUAGGAAUACUACUAUACUAGAGGGCGGGAGAGGUCUGAGGUACUACAGGGGUAGGGGUGAAAUCUUAUAAUCCUUGUUGGACCACCAGNGGCGAAGGCGUCAGACUGGAACGCGCCUGACGGUGAGGGACGAAAGCCAGGGGAGCGAACCGGAUUAGAUACCCGGGUAGUCCUNNCGUAAACGAUGCAUACUAGGUGAU
rnacentral:rRNA from 1 species